rnacentral:tRNA from 1 species
GAGGGGAGGUUGAACCAACAAGAACUGCUAAUUCUCGCAUCUGAGCAUAAACCCUCAGUCCCCUUA